rnacentral:sRNA from 1 species
UUUAAUGACAUUGCAAAAUAGGUUCUUUUUAGUCUCUCUCCUUCUUCCUCUCCCACUCCUCCCUUCUGGCCUGCUUUCCCCUCCUGCCCACCCCCAGAUUUCUCUCUCCUGUCUUGACUUUGAUUUUCAGCCCUCAUCCCCCAGUCUCUUUCAUCUCUUCUCCAAUCUCAGCUUUCUUCCACUGCUCAAAUCUGGGUGUAAAUCCCACCUCAACUGAAAGGAAAAGAAAGAAACAAGAUUUAACAACUAAUGUGUUUGGCAUCUACAAAGAUCUCCAGGACUUCAAGUUAGAUGUGCAGCACGUGAUUGAAGUGGAUGAGGGAAACACAGCAGUCAUUGCCUGCCACCUGCCUGAGAGCCACCCCAAAGCCCAGGUCCGGUACAGCGUCAAACAAGAGUGGCUGGAGGCCUCCAGAGGUAACUACCUGAUCAUGCCCUCAGGGAACCUCCAGAUUGUGAAUGCCAGCCAGGAGGACGAGGGCACGUACAAGUGUGCAGCCUACAACCCAGUGACCCAGGAAGUGAAAACCUCCGGCUCCAGCGACAGGCUACGUGUGCGCC